AAUGAACGCUGGCGGCAGGCCUAAUACGUGCAAGUCGAACGAUUGCCUUAGGGUGAUGGUGGCGUACGGGUGCGUAACGCGUGGGGAUUUGCCCUUAGGUUAGGUAUAAAAGAUGGUAACGGCAGUUCAUACAGGAGGAUAUCGCGCGAUCAAAGAUUUUUCUCCUGAGGGUGAGAACGCGUUGGAUUAGGUUGCUGGUGGGGUAAAGGCCUACCAAGCCGACGAUCCAUAGUUGGGCUGUGAGGAUGGGCAGCCACACUGAGACUGAGACACAGCCCAGACUCCUACGGGAUGCAGCAGUGCGUGAUAUAGCACAAUCGGCGCAAUCCUGAACCACCUAGGCCGCUUGAGUGAUGAAGUCCCUAGAGUAGUAAAGCGCUUGUACCCGUGAAGAUAAUGACGGUACCUAAAGAAUAAGCCCCGGCUAACUCCGUG
rnacentral:rRNA from 1 species